rnacentral:rRNA from 1 species
UCUUGGUCUUUAGAGGAAUAAAAGUCGUAACAAGGUCUCCGUUGGUGAACCAGCGGAGGGAUCAUUACCGAGUUUACAACUCCCAAACCCCUGUGAACAUACCACUUGUUGCCUCGGCGGAUCAGCCCGCUCCCGGUAAAACGGGACGGCCCGCCAGAGGACCCCUAAACUCUGUUUCUAUAAGUAACUUCUGAGUAAAACCAUAAAUAAAUCAAAACUUUCAACAACGGAUCUCUUGGUUCUGGCAUCGAUGAAGAACGCAGUAAAAUGCGAUAAGUAAUGUGAAUUGCAGAAUUCAGUGAAUCAUCGAAUCUUUGAACGCACAUUGCGCCCGCCAGUAUUCUGGCGGGCAUGCCUGUUCGAGCGUCAUUUCAACCCUCAAGCACAGCUUGGUGUUGGGACUCGCGUUAAUUCGCGUUCCCCAAAUUGAUUGGCGGUCACGUCGAGCUUCCAUAGCGUAGUAGUAAAACCCUCGUUACUGGUAAUCGUCGCGGCCACGCCGUUAAACCCCAACUUCUGAAUGUUGACCUCGGAUCAGGCAGGAAUACCCGGUGAACUUAAGCAUAUCAAUAAGCGGAUGA